GACGAACGCUGGCGGCGUGCCUAACACAUGCAAGUCGAGCGAAUGAAGUUCCUUCGGGGAUGGAUUUAGCGGCGGACGGGUGAGUAACACGUGGGCAACCUGCCUCAUAGAGGGGAAUAGCCUUCCGAAAGGGAGAUUAAUACCGCAUAAGAUUGUAGUAUCGCAUGAUACAGCAAUUAAAGGAGCAAUCCGCUAUGAGAUGGGCCCGCGGCGCAUUAGCUAGUUGGUGAGGUAACGGCUCACCAAGGCGACGAUGCGUAGCCGACCUGAGAGGGUGAUCGGCCACAUUGGGACUGAGACACGGCCCAGACUCCUACGGGAGGCAGCAGUGGGGAAUAUUGCACAAUGGGGGAAACCCUGAUGCAGCAACGCCGCGCGAGUGAUGACGGCCUUCGGGUUGUAAAGCUCUGUCUUCAGGGACGAUAAUGACGGUACCUGAGGAGGAAGCCACGGCUAACUACGUGCCAGCCGCCGCCGUAAAAC
rnacentral:rRNA from 1 species